AUACCUUUCGAAGCCUUCUGGCUAAGAUCAAGUGCAGUAUCUAAUCUUAUCAGUUUAAUAUGGGAUCCAUCGGAGUCGGCAAGAGGAAAUUGUUUUUAGCGAUAUGUGAAUGUUGUUCUAGCUCAUUUUUUUAAGAACUUGGAAGCCAUGCCAUUCUAAUUAUCCUGCCAAUAUAUGAGUUUUCUUUUGGUUAGUUUUAAGAACC